AGGGACUUAGGAUAAGACAAGUCCAAGGGCCUUCAAAGUCCUAAGUGAAAGUGAAAAUCUCUCAGCCCCUG
rnacentral:tRNA from 1 species